CCCCGCACCCUUUUUUUUUUUAAUAGAAGAUUUAUUGUAUAUAUAUAUUGUCUUCCUGUGCAGAGUAACAGAAUGAUUUGUUUCUUUCUCACUAUAACAGAUCUUCACACUCUCAGAUACCUGUGGUGCUUAUGAAUUAUUGGCCUCUUACUUGUGAAAGAAAUCUAACACUGUCCUCACCAUUUACAGGCUAUUUGGUCCUUUUACAGGUUGUUCUCAGCCUGUAUUUUCAAACACACUAGUCAGUAGGAAUGUGUCCUCAGAAGGGACCCACAGCAAUUUGAAACAGAGAAAUAGCUAAAUCCCUACUAUAACUGCAUGAUCAGACCAGAAGUAUG